CUACGGGCGGCUCCAGUGAGGAAUUUUGCGCAAUGGGCGAAAGCCUGACGCAGCAACGCCGCGUGAGUGAUGAAGGCCUUCGGGUCGUAAAGCUCUGUCAAGUGGGAAGAACCUAUGUAAUGUUAAUAUCAUUAUAUACUGACGGUACCACUGAAGGAAGCACCGGCUAACUCCGUGCCAGCAGCCGCGGUAAUACGGGGGGUGCAAGCGUUAUUCGGAAUCAUUGGGCGUAAAGGGCACGUAGGCGGCCUGGUAAGUCAGAUGUGAAAGCCCGGGGCUUAACCCCGGAAGUGCAUUUGAUACUGUCAGGCUUGAGUAUGGGAGAGGGAAGUGGAAUUCCUGGUGUAGAGGUGAAAUUCGUAGAUAUCAGGAGGAACACCGGUGGCGAAGGCGACUUCCUGGACCAAUACUGACGCUGAGGUGCGAAGGCGUGGGUAGCAAACAGGAUUAGAUACCCCCGUAGUC
rnacentral:rRNA from 1 species